GUGGUCUUGGAAAGUCAGUAAACGAAAAAUUCGGGUUUCAACAUAGUGGUGUGAGUCCCUUGAAGGUAAUCUUUAUGAGCUGGUGCCUUGCGUCGGCUUAGCGUCCUGGUGUCCCACCAUUUUCCAUUCUGGUCCGAUAUGCUGAGGGGAGGUCCCUGGAGGUUUGGCUGUGCCUUGGGGGUCCCAGAGGCCCCAGUCCUUCAGGAUGGUGAGGCCGUGAUCCGGGUCAGCUAUCACGUACAGUUUGCCAUUGCGCCAUACCAAUAACUUCGUAGGGAAUCCCCACCUGUAAUUCAACUUGUGAUUGCGCAGCGUUUUCGUAAUUGUAGAGAAGUCUCUGCGUCGGGCCAUCAUUAAGGCCGAUAGAUCAGCGUACAAUGCUAUACCUUCAUAUGGUGCUGGUAAGCUGUUCGUUGCCCUCGCCGCCUGGAGGGGAGUAUCUUUAGAUUUAAAAUAAUGAAAGCGGGCAAUAACAUCGCGUGGAACGUCUUGAGCGAGACGUGGUGGUUUCGGAAGUCGGUGCACUCGAUCGAUCUUCC